UUUACGAGCAAACUUCAACCUCUCUGAAGUGGUCCUGAGGAUGCUAAAAGAUGCAGAGAAAAGAUCAUGGCAAAGGAUCAUAAGCUGAUCGUGGGCUGUCCUGGUCCUCAAAUGGCCAAAUCUCUGGCAUGGAGUCCAGUGGAAAACAAACUUUACCUACUUCCUGCCCUGGUGUGUCCUCAGGGCCUGAGGACUGUGGGUCAUUUGCAUCUACUCCACUCUCCUACUUUUGGUAAAACAGUAAAAUCCCUUUACUGGUUUGUGUGUCUGUAUGGACAGAAGCUCGGAUCAUUCCGCUGAUUCCAAGGAUCCCGCAAAGUGCUGGUACAUGCCCAGCACUCCAUGAUGGUUGUUAACGUAGGUGUUGGUCUCAUAAAGGAACAAACCUUAGCAAGACUGAAGCUCAAGGAGGUUAAAAGGUAGAAGAGACUGUCUGAAGUUGUCUUCUGAAUCUGAGUAACUACUCAACCACAAGGGCCAUGAAAUUUUGUGUGUCUUCUGAAUACCUAGCAGAGCACCUACAAGAAGUAUUCAUCUUCAUCUGUUGACUCCCUGAAGCCACAGGGUGGGCUAGCAUAAUUCAUCUGGAAUUAAAAUUUGGCUGGGAUGGAACCAAACUGCAAUUCAAUGUAAAUAUGCACAGAAAGGAUAAUUAAUGACUUUCCUGAUUAGCCUCGACUCCACACCCAUCCACACGGCUUCGGCGUCUCCUGGUGUUGUCAGCCUUAUGAAGUCUUAUUUGAAGGACGAGCAGUCAUAAUCAGAAGCUGGAGUCAAAGAGGAUGAAAUGGGAAUUGUCACAAAGAAAAGAAAGAGCUUCUGGAGAAUUUGGAGCCCAGCAAAAUGUUGAGGAAAACGGAAGCUGAAAUCACAGGAGAAGCCCGUGCAGUCGGCCGCAGGCGCGUCUUACAGCUGAAGGCGGCCGUCGAGGCGGGUCCUGCGCUCCGGAGUGACUGGGCAACUGCGCGUCGUUUGGACAGGUGCGGGGUACAUGGGGUGAUCGUCUGCUGCUUCCAGAUGGAUAUACCGUCGACCCCAUUUCACAUUGGAGUUUUGUUAGAAAUAGGUGUAAAUCUUCAAGCAGCCACAACAGAUGUUAGUAAAGCUCAUGUUUGAGAGACUGACACGUGCUCCUGGGAGUUUGAGGACAUGACAGAAUUGCAAGGCAGGUGGUCCGUCUGCCCUACGAGAGGCCCCCACCGUCAUGGCACUGAGCAGUGGUGGCCCAGGGCCAGGGGGUAGGGAGGAAGGUUGCCCCGACCUCACGGCACGGGGGCAGUGCCUCUGCAGGGCCUCCUGAGAGCCCAGCAUUGUCCCCCCCGGACAGCAGGUCUCCACUUACGCGCUGUAGGGCUUCCGUGGCAGCCUGCAGGUGACCCCCAGCAGCCCGUACAAGGACGGAUGCCCUCUCGGCCCCCAGUUUUGUCCUGGUGGGAGGGCACAGACGCCAGAGCUCCGGGGAGAGAAGAGGGUCAGGAGAGGGGCGGGAAGUAUGGGCACAGGCGCAGGGAGCCCUGCGGGGCCAGGGGGCGCAAGGGGCCCCGCCUGGGGUGGGGACUGGCGUCUUAAACUGAGUUAGACGAGCCUGGACUUUUAGGUACCUGCUAAUAGCUGAAAAAUGGUGGAAUCCAAUGGAGAUAACAUUAAAGGACAUGGAAGGAGGAUUUUACAGGGAAGGUCUGAAAAUAACCGUUAGAGAACGAAAGAAAAAUCACAUUUCCAUUCUGUUAAGUAAGCUUUUCAAUUUAACCUAUUAUUCAACACCAGUGUUUUUUUUUCCCUUUCCUUGUUGUGGUGAAUGAAUGAAUGGCUGAAGGAGUGAAUCUGGACCUUAUCACUAACUGCAGAGUUAAAGGCAUUUUUUUUCUGCAUUUAAAACAAAAUCAAAGCCUCAGUGAGCAGAUGGUAGAAGCUUUUAUUUUCCAGGAGACAAAGGACCUGUCCAUACCCUUUAACUCGCCCCAGUGGGAGGCUGAAGCCUCCCCCAGGGGAAGCACGAGCACAGGGCCGACUGUCAGGGAAGCCAACCCACAGCUUGCACAGUUUUUAAAUUUCACUCAAAUUGUCAAAAAUGUCUUGUUUUUUUAGAGAGUUAUUUGAGUUUUGAGAAAUUAAUACUUUCAUAUUGGUGUUCUAAUUUUUAUUAAGAUAAAAAAAAACCCCACAUAUUCUAAAAAGAAUUAUUUCUCCAAAGGGGAAGGAAACCAGGAUUGCCAAGAAUAAAACAGUAAAACCCCUAUGCUUAGUAUUAACAUUGACAGAACCUAAAUUCCAAAAGGGUUUAAAUUGCACAAUGUGAACUAAAAUGAGCCUGCUCCCUCUUUGGUGCAGUUCUUAAGUAUUAUUCCAAGAAAAGUGGCUGAAAUUACCCAUGUUGUUUGUUAUUUCAUGGCAGAGGAUAUUUGCCCACAGUUUCAUUGUUUGAAAGAGACCAUCUCUUUUUUUUCCUAAUGUGAAUGUGAAAUAUCUCCCUUGGGGUCAGAGGCAUGCAUAAAGAUAUAUCAUUUGCCUUUUAAUGGGGCUUUCUGGUGACUCUACAGUUUUAAAUUGUUGUAUAUGCAUCAGAUAUUACUUACUGGAUGUUCUUGCUCUGGGCUCUACAAAUAGGGAUAGAAAUAAUUAUAGUGAGGAUGGCUUUGUGUGAUGAUGUCACUCCAGAGAAAACCUGCCACAAAGGGAGUGUUUACAGUAAAGUGUGGCAGAAACUGCAGAGUAAUCAAAGUGCAAAUUCCAAUUUAUUUAAGCAAUAUUGUUCUUGCUUCUCCAUUUCACAAAGCUGUCCUUUCUCAUUAAAUUUUUGAAAGAGGAGGAAUGGAUUUUACCAGCACACAUCUGAAUGCUGGUUGACCUUUUGGAAAACUCUGCAUGGAGCCCUGGCAUCAGCUGUCUUUUCACACAUGUGGUGACAAACAGAAGACAUUGAAGCCUGUCAGGAACAGGCUGAAUAUGUGCAAGACUUGGUGCGAUAUAGCAAAGGCUUGUAUUUGAAGAGAAGGUUAUGCGUGUUGAGGGGAGCAUCUGCUGCUGACCUUGGAGCGCUGGGACACGCUGCGGCUGAGGACCUUCGCUGUUCUCCAUGGACACCUGGGAUGGGCUAUGCUUCGGCUAUGGCAUUUGCUCUCUGGCAACAGACAGAUAAAUGAAAAUAAAUAGAGCUGAUUAUAUCCACGUAUUGAUGACAAUGUCACAGUCAAGUACCUGCGUUUAUUUAAUCAUUUAUUCUUUUAUCAGGUGUUUAUUAAGCAUCAAGGAUGCCAUCAGUUGACAGUGUACCAGGUGGAGGGAUCACAAACCACAUAAGAUGCAGUUCUUGCCCUUAACAUGCUCGUGAUUAGGAGCAGCCUCCUCCUUAGUGGGCAGGAAAUGAGGAUACGGUGUGGUAGCUGUGAAGGCAGGAGGCCCAGGGUGCUGCAGGCACACCUAGAUGAGACCCUAACCCAGGUGGGCCUGACAGAAAUGGGGAUAUCUAAUGUCUGAUUUAAUGAGCAAUCAAUCAGGAAAGCGGUAAAGGAAAAGGGUUUUGAAAGGAAAGGUUCCAAGACAAGAAAAAGCAAGGAUAAUGGGGAAUAAAGUUACUGCAAAGCUGAAUAGAAACAUGAGAAUGAGGAAAACAUCCAGUGGGAAAAGGGAGCCGGAGCUUGGGCCUAAGGAGUUUGUCUUCUAUCUUGUGUUAAGAAUAUGUACAGAUUGUAUUGUAAAGGCUAAGUAGUCAUGGUCGUGCUGCUCCUGGUCUCAGGCUCGGGGGCCAUUGCUCCAGAAUCCGUGAAGGCCUUAGAAGGCUUCCGUUUCAGGAUCACACACAACGUUAAGUUAUCAAAGGACGCAGGACCACUCUGUACUCUGGUUUUAGCACUUGUUGCUGGCCCGGUUCAACACACAACUGAAAACGUCCACUCUGGUGAUGAGCCUUCAGGACCCACAGCCACACCUGUCCACAUCUCUGGUCCCACAUCUACAGGCCACUGGGUCCCCAGUCUGUGAACAUGGGCGGCUGAACAUGGACACUGCUUCAAAGCUGGGAAGAACUUGAGAAGUGGAAAUAAUUUUCUUUCACUAGUAUAUACUAAUUGAUUAAAACUUUUCAGAUCAUAUAUAUGCAAUAGAUUCUUGCCUAAUGAAAGAUAGUUUUCAAAUAGGAGCAGGUACGUAGCCUGUUCCCUGCUUCUGUUUAUGUUCUAGUAUGUCGACAAAGAGCUACACAGGGAUCAGGUGGUAGUCCCAGGAUUUGCACACGAGGCCAAAGAUUUUUUUUGUUACAUUUUUAUAUUACUUAAAAAAAUUCUCACUCUCUCCCUUUCUCUCUCUGUACACACACACAUACAAUAUUUACAUUAAAACACAUGAAGCAUGGUUUUACAUUGAAUGUUAUUAUUUGAAUGGCUUUAUUUAUAUGAUUAUAUUAAAUUUUUAAAAAUUAUGUAAGAAUUUCAGGUUUAUUUUAAAAUAUAUUAAUAUUUUAAUAAUAUUUUGUGAUAAGAUGUCUCCUAAUCUUACAGAUAAUUCUGAAUAUUUGGGAGAAAAGUCUUUUUGCAAAUAUGAAAACUAAUAUUAAUUUUUCACUUGUACAUUUAACUUAUAUUGUUACAAGUGAAAAUAUAUUAAACUUUGGAAUACUUGGCAUAUUUUUAAUUCUUUAGUUCAUUACAACCACUCAAAUUGUAUAAAAACAUUGAUUGAAGUAACAG